AGUGAACGCUGGCGGUAGGCCUAACACAUGCAAGUCGAACGGCAGCACAGUAAGAGCUUGCUCUUACGGGUGGCGAGUGGCGGACGGGUGAGGAAUACAUCGGAAUCUACUUUUUCGUGGGGGUUAACGUAGGGAAACCUAAGCUAAUAUCGCAUACGCCCCUCCGGUGAAAGCAGGGGAUCUUCGGACCUUGCGCGAUUGAAUGAGCCGAUGUCGGAUUUGCUAGUUGGCGGGGUAAAGGCCCACCAAGGCGACGAUCCGUAGCUGGUCUGAGAGGAUGAUCGGCCACACUGGAACUGAGACACGGACCAGACUCCUACGGGAGGCAGCAGUGGGGAAUAUUGGACAAUGGGCGCAAGCCUGAUCCAGCCAUACCGCGUGGGUGAAGAAGGCCUUCGGGUUGUAAAGCCCUUUUGUUGGGAAAGAAAAGCAGCAGGUUAAUACCCCGCUGUUCUGACGGUACCCAAAGAAUAAGCACCGGCUAACUUCGUG
rnacentral:rRNA from 1 species